rnacentral:rRNA from 1 species
GAUGAACGCUGGCGGCGUGCCUAAUACAUGCAAGUCGAGCGAACAGACGAGGAGCUUGCUACUUUGACGUUAGCGGCGGACGGGUGAGUAACACGUAGGUAACCUACCUAUAAGACUGGGAUAACUUCGGGAAACCGGAGCUAAUACCGGAUAAUAUUUCGAACCGCAUGGUUCGAUAGUGAAAGAUGGCUUUGCUAUCACUUAUAGAUGGACCUGCGCCGUAUUAGCUAGUUGGUAAGGUAACGGCUUACCAAGGCAACGAUACGUAGCCGACCUGAGAGGGUGAUCGGCCACACUGGAACUGAGACACGGUCCAGACUCCUACGGGAGGCAGCAGUAGGGAAUCUUCCGCAAUGUGCGAAAGCCUGACGGAGCAACGCCGCGUGAGUGAUGAAGGUCUUCGGAUCGUAAAACUCUGUUAUUAGGGAAGAACAAACGUGUAAGUAACUGUGCACGUCUUGACGGUACCUAAUCAGAAAGCCACGGCUAACUACGUG